GGGGCUGUGGCUCAAUGGUAGAGCAUUUGCCUAGCAUGUGUGAGGCACUGGGUUCAAUUCUCAGCACCA
rnacentral:tRNA from 1 species